GAUAUCCCAAGACAAUUUGAUAACAAGAGAAAACACUGGCAAUAUAAUGCUGAGUGAAGAAAAAGUAGAACUGCAAAGACUGGCCCCUCAGAGCACGUGGUGUUCCCUUGCUCUGGGACCUGGGCCCUUUGUGGUAGCAGAGUCAGAGCACAGAGGACAGGACAAUUCCUGGGGGCUUAUAGCAAGACCCAGUGUGUUGCUGGAGGUCUCAGGUGCACCCAAAUUGGAGCUGGGAGAGCCUCGAAGAAAAGUGGAACCACCCAGCCAAGCCAAGAAGGGUUAGAACUUCUGCUAUGAGAGCAGACCUUGCACAAACAUAUGGGAAGCAGAAACAAGGGAAGAGGAUUGAAGAUGAAUCCACGUUUUAAAAGUCCUUUUCUGCAGGAGGUGGCAUUACCUGUGACCUCGCUUCAGUUCUUCAUACAUGGCUGUUGUAGCAGGUGGCAAGAAUCAUACUACUUACCCAGAGGAAUGUUGUGAAGAAUCAGUAUAUGAAUUCUUACCAAGAUCCUUGGAAUAUCUACUGGUACAUUGUAUUCAAUAAAUACUCAAUAAUUAUUAGCA